rnacentral:rRNA from 1 species
CAGCAGGGUGCCAUCAAGAGGUGUAUU